UUAGUUUUGUUUUUUGUUUUUAGUUAACAAUAAACAAAAAAAUAAUGAUUUGCAUUUGUUUGUGUCUGUGUGAUGCAGCCACACCUUUUGGAACACAAAAAAGAUUUUUCUGCAAAUAUUUCAUGGUAAUAUUUGAGGUUAUGUAAAAUUUUAGGAUGUUUGAAAGCUUUUUUCCAUGACUGUAUGUCAGUCCUAUGGUGAAAUGGGUGAACCCCCCCCCUUCACCCAUUGGUAGACAGGAGGGGCACCCGCACCCUCGGGACCCUCUUGAGGAUUAAGUUCAAUGAGUGAAUGAAUGAAUAUUUUGACACUUGUCUCAGAUGUAUUGCCUUCAGUAUUCAAUAUAAUUCAGUUCAAUAAAUCCCUUAGUUUCUUUGGGUUGGGUUUUCCGGUUGCAAUCAAGGGGUCACUACCUAUAAUAUUUGACUAUUAUUACAAUAUUUAUAUAAAAAAUAUGUACGUAUAUCAUAGAUUUUCACAGUACACUAAGAAAUUAGCAGGAAAAAAGUGAAACAACUAUGCUUAUGGAUAAGAAAAGUAUAAUGUGUUGAAGUAGACCUUCACAUUUUUCAGUGCAGUUAAAAUAAUAAUCACUAAACAACAGUGAUUAAACUGUAGUGAAACUGGAGCUGUGCUGAAUGUGAAGGGACUGAACUAUAGUCAGAGAAACUUAGCAUGUUUUUUCCGGUUACAUUUUGACUUGGGCACUGUGACUAAGUGUUAUAAAACCCUGCUAUUUUAUUCUUAAUUUUCAGUUUUUUCCCUACCCUCUGCCUGCUUUUUUUAUUUUUACAUUUAGCAAAAACUGUGCUGCUAAUGAUCUGUUGUUACAAACUAUGCCUCAUUCAGGGGCACAAACUCAGCUGGACUAAUAAAUACAGAGUAACUCAUGUUUAGGUCGAUGUGUUAAAGAGGUCUUUAUGAGACAGGCCCCCCGCUCUGUUUGUCAUAACUUCUCUUCAGUAGGAAAACACGGUGAUGGCUGACGGCUGUGUGAACGAACAAAAAAACUCAAAACACAUUUUAUUGGUAUUUCUGUUCUAAUAGGAUUUACCAGUCAAACAGGUGGCUUUUACUAUCUGAAGAGCACACACUGCACAUAGAUGAAAUAAAAGGGUUUGGUAGUUUAACUAUGCAAUAAAAUAGUUUUUUGACACCCCUGUUUAUGCCUUUUGGUGCAAUACGUAAAUGAACAAUUCACCAAACAAGAUGAGCACAUAUCAUUUGGCUUUUUUUAAAUAUUUUAAACAUUGUAAUACAUUUUAUUCAUGUGGUUAGUAGAUGAGGCUCAUCCACAGCCUUCUCAGUGAAAUUGUGCCUUACUGAUUAAAAAAAAAGAACUAAAAGCCGUUAACACACGCAGCCUAUGAACCAAACAUGUAAAUAGUCAUAUUUAUUAUUACAUUAGUAUUUAUUGUAUGUGUGGCUCUGUGGUCCAAAAUGGUUGUUUCUUGUUAUGAUGGGUUUUAAAGGGGCUUCUGCAGCACAAUGGACCUGUAUAUUUUGGUCAUAACCACUGUUCUAUGAUCCUGUAUAUUCCUCACUGUGAUGUUAAUUGUCAGUCACUUGUACAUGACUUACUACAAUAAAUGUUUAUGCAUCUGUCUGUAAGAAUCACAUUGAUGCCUUGUCGCAAGAUAUAAUUACCUGUUUUUCUUUGUCCUUUUGGUGUUGUAAUGUUAUCAUACAUCGAGGUUAAUAAAGAUUAAAAAGACAUUG